rnacentral:rRNA from 1 species
UCCCGGUGGGGGUAACUCUGCCGGGGGAAGUGGCGAAAGGGGCAGUAAGGCGUAGGUAACCUACCCGGGGGACGGGGAUAGCCCUUCUAACGAAGGGGUAAUACCCGGCGAUCUGGCCGAGAGACAUCUCUUGACCAGGAAAGGAGUUUCGCCUCCGGAGGGGCUUACGUAGUAUUAGCUUGUUGGCGGGGUAACGGCCCACCAAGGCCAAGAUGCUUAGCAGGUGUGAGAGCACGACCUGCGCCACUGGCACUGAGACACUGGCCAGACUCCUACGGGAGGCUGCAGUCGAGGAUCUUCGGCAAUGGGCGCAAGCCUGACCGAGCGACGCCGCGUGUGCGAUUGAAGGCCUUCGGGUUGUAAAGCACUGUCGAGGGGGAGAAAAGCCCCGCAAGGGGUCUGAUCUAUCCCUGGAGGAAGCACGGGCUAAGUUCGUGCCAGCAGCCGCGGUAAGACGAACCGUGCGAACGUUGUUCGGAAUCACUGGGCUUAAAGGGCGCGUAGGCGGGCAUCCAAGUCAGUGGUGAAAUCCACCGGCCUAACCGGAGAAGAGCUGUUGAUACUGGGUGCCUCGAGUGGUGCAGGGGUCUGCGGAACUUCCGGUGGAGCGGUGAAAUGCGUAGAGAUCGGAAGGAACGCCGGUGGCGAAAGCGGCGGACUGGGCACCUCCUGACGCUGAGGCGCGAAAGCCAGGGGAGCAAACGGGAUUAGAUACCCCGGUAGUCCUGGCCCUAAACGAUGGGUACUAGGUUGAAGGCUUACAUGGGCUUUCAGCCGGAGCAAAAGUGUUAAGUACCCCGCCUGGGGAGUAUGGUCGCAAGGCUG